rnacentral:rRNA from 1 species
AUGGUCUUAGCUUGCUAAGGCCGAUGGCGACCGGCGCACGGGUGAGUAACACGUAUCCAACCUGCCGUCUACUCUUGGACAGCCUUCUGAAAGGAAGAUUAAUACAAGAUGGCAUCAUGAGUCCGCAUGUUCACAUGAUUAAAGGUAUUCCGGUAGACGAUGGGGAUGCGUUCCAUUAGAUAGUAGGCGGGGUAACGGCCCACCUAGUCUUCGAUGGAUAGGGGUUCUGAGAGGAAGGUCCCCCACAUUGGAACUGAGACACGGUCCAAACUCCUACGGGAGGCAGCAGUGAGGAAUAUUGGUCAAUGGGCGAGAGCCUGAACCAGCCAAGUAGCGUGAAGGAUGACUGCCCUAUGGGUUGUAAACUUCUUUUAUAAAGGAAUAAAGUCGGGUAUGGAUACCCGUUUGCAUGUACUUUAUGAAUAAGGAUCGGCUAACUCCGUGCCAGCAGCCGCGGUAAUACGGAGGAUCCGAGCGUUACCCGGAUUUAUUGGGUUUAAAGGGAGCGUAGAUGGAUGUUUAAGUCAGUUGUGAAAGUUUGCGGCUCAACCGUAAAAUUGCAGUUGAUACUGGAUAUCUUGAGUGCAGUUGAGGCAGGCGGAAUUCGUGGUGUAGCGGUGAAAUGCUUAGAUAUCACGAAGAACUCCGAUUGCGAAGGCAGCCUGCUAAGCUGCAACUGACAUUG